rnacentral:rRNA from 1 species
CCUACGGGAGGCAGCAGUGAGGAAUAUUGGUCAAUGGCCGAGAGGCUGAACCAGCCAAGUCGCGUGAGGGAUGACGGCCCUACGGGUUGUAAACCUCUUUUGUCGGGGAGCAAGACCCGCCACGAGUGGCGGAGCGAGAGUACCCGAAGAAAAAGCAUCGGCUAACUCCGUGCCAGCAGCCGCGGUAAUACGGAGGAUGCGAGCGUUAUCCGGAUUUAUUGGGUUUAAAGGGUGCGUAGGCGGCCUGCUAAGUCUGGAGUGAAAGGUACCGGCUCAACCGGUACAGGCUCUGGAAACUGGCGGGG